rnacentral:rRNA from 1 species
GACGAACGCUGGCGGCGUGCUUAACACAUGCAAGUCGAACGGAAAGGCCCUGCUUUUGUGGGGUGCUCGAGUGGCGAACGGGUGAGUAACACGUGAGUAACCUGCCCUUGACUUUGGGAUAACUUCAGGAAACUGGGGCUAAUACCGGAUAGGAGCUCCUGCUGCAUGGUGGGGGUUGGAAAGUUUCGGCGGUUGGGGAUGAACUCGCGGCUUAUCAGCUUGUUGGUGGGGUAGUGGCUUACCAAGGCUUUGACGGGUAGCCGGCCUGAGAGGGUGACCGGCCACAUUGGGACUGAGAUACGGCCCAGACUCCUACGGGAGGCAGCAGUGGGGAAUAUUGCACAAUGGGCGGAAGCCUGAUGCAGCAACGCCGCGUGCGGGAUGACGGCCUUCGGGUUGUAAACCGCUUUAGCAUGUGACGAAGCGUGAGUGACGGUAAUGGGUAAAGAAGCACCGGCUAACUACGUG